GACGAACGCUGGCGGCGUGCUUAACACAUGCAAGUCGAACGGGCCCGCUCUCUUUUUUGGGGGUGGGUUGAGUGGCGAACGGGUGAGUAUCACGUGAGUAACCUGCCCCCUGCUCCUGGAUAACUGCUUGAAAGGGCGGCUAAUACGGGGUGUGCCGGCUGUUCCGCAUGGGCCUGGUCGGGAUAGUUUCAUCUUCGGGUGUUUCGGUGGGGGAUGGGCUCGCGGCCUAUCAGCUUGUUGGUGGGGUGAUGGCCCACCAAGGCGGUGACGGGUAGCCGGCCUGGGAGGGUGGGCGGCCAGACUGGGACUGAGACACGGCCCAGACUCCUGCGGGAGGCAGCGGUGGGGGGUAUUGCACAAUGGGCGGAAGCCUGAUGCAGCGACGUCGCGUGAGGGAUGGAGGCCUUCGGGUUGUGAACCUCUUUCUCCGGUGGUGAAGGCCCUGUCCGUUGCGGCGGGGUUGACGGUAGCCGGGUAUGAAGCGCCGGCUAACUACGUG
rnacentral:rRNA from 1 species